rnacentral:rRNA from 1 species
UGGGGAAUUUUCCGCAAUGGGCGCAAGCCUGACGGAGCAAUACCGCGUGAGGGAGGAAGGCUUUUGGGUUGUAAACCUCUUUUAUUAAGGAAGAAGAAAGUGACGGUACUUAAAGAAUCAGCAUCGGCUAACUCCGUGCCAGCAGCCGCGGUAAUACGGAGGGUGCGAGCGUUAAUCGGAAUUACUGGGCGUAAAGCGCGCGUAGGCGGUUUGUUAAGUCGGAUGUGAAAGCCCCGGGCUCAACCUGGGAACUGCACCCGAUACUGGCCGACUGGAGUGCGAGAGAGGGAGGUAGAAUUCCACGUGUAGCGGUGAAAUGCGUAGAUAUGUGGAGGAAUACCGGUGGCGAAGGCGGCCUCCUGGCUCGACACUGACGCUGAGGUGCGAAAGCGUGGGGAGCAAACAGGAUUAGAUACCCGCGUAGUCC